rnacentral:rRNA from 1 species
GACGAACGCUGGCGGCGUGCUUAACACAUGCAAGUCGAACGGAAAGGCCCUGCUUUUGUGGGGUGCUCGAGUGGCGAACGGGUGAGUAACACGUGAGUAACCUGCCCUUGACUUUGGGAUAACUUCAGGAAACUGGGGCUAAUACCGGAUAGGAGCUCCUGCUGCAUGGUGGGGGUUGGAAAGUUUCGGCGGUUGGGGAUGGACUCGCGGCUUAUCAGCUUGUUGGUGGGGUAGUGGCUUACCAAGGCUUUGACGGGUAGCCGGCCUGAGAGGGUGACCGGCCACAUUGGGACUGAGAUACGGCCCAGACUCCUACGGGAGGCAGUAGUGGGGAAUAUUACACAAUGGGCGGAAGCCUGAUGCAGCAACGCCGCGUGCGGGAUGACGGCCUUCGGGUUGUAAACCGCUUUCGCCUGUGACGAAGCGUGAGUGACGGUAAUGGGUAAAGAAGCACCGGCUAACUACGUG